AUGGCGUCCAAGGAGCUCUCCUGCCGCCGCCUCGCCGGCCUCGCUCAUGCCCAGCACCUCCUCCACCCCGCAGCCGCGCCUCCACCAGCAGAUGAGCCCUCGCCGCCGGCCAGCAGAGCCGUCGGAGCACCACCAGAACCGGGCCGCCUUCCCUGCCCUCCUCUCUCUUCGUCACUCCCUCUCCAUCUCUCUGCUCUCUCAUGGCCUCUCUCUAUGUGCCCUUCGCAGGUCGACACCGCCGGCCAUCUCCACCCCGGAUCCGGUUGCCCUUGUCGUCCCGUGCUCGGAUCUACCUCUUCCAGUCAUCUCCUUGCUGGUCCGCGCCCCGGGGACCCGUCGAUGAACGCUGCCAUGCCGUGCGCCGCCUCCUCUGUUUUCUGCGCCCGCUCGAGCGGGGAGGACGAGCGGUAG
rnacentral:rRNA from 1 species